rnacentral:rRNA from 1 species
AUUGAACGCUGGCGGCAGGCUUAACACAUGCAAGUCGAGCGGGGAAAGGUAGCUUGCUACCUGACCUAGCGGCGGACGGGUGAGUAGUGCUUAGGAAUCUGCCUAUUAGUGGGGGACAACAUCUCGAAAGGGAUGCUAAUACCGCAUACGUCCUACGGGAGAAAGCAGGGGACCUUCGGGCCUUGCGCUAAUAGAUGAGCCUAAGUCGGAUUAGCUAGUUGGUGGGGUAAAGGCCUACCAAGGCGACGAUCUGUAGCGGGUCUGAGAGGAUGAUCCGCCACACUGGGACUGAGACACGGCCCAGACUCCUACGGGAGGCAGCAGUGGGGAAUAUUGGACAAUGGGGGGAACCCUGAUCCAGCCAUGCCGCGUGUGUGAAGAAGGCCUUUUGGUUGUAAAGCACUUUAAGCGAGGAGGAGGCUACCGAGAUUAAUACUCUUGGAUAGUGGACGUUACUCGCAGAAUAAGCACCGGCUAACUCUGUGCCAGCAGCCGCAGUAAGAC